UACGAAGGGGGCUAGCGUUGCUCGGAAUCACUGGGCGUAAAGGGAGCGUAGGUGGCCUUAUAAGUCAGUGGUGAAAUCCUGUUGCUUAACAACAGAAUUGCCAUUGAUACUGUAGGGCUUGAGUACAGAUGCCGUUGGCGGAAUAUGACAUGUAGUGGUGAAAUACAUAGAGAUGUCAUAGAACACCGAUUGCGAAGGCAGCUGACGAAACUGUAACUGACACUGAGGCUCGAAAGUGCGGGGAUCAAACAGG
rnacentral:rRNA from 1 species